ensembl:lncRNA
GUAGAAACUUUGUGGAACAACAUGGUGGACUCCAUGGAAGAGGAGCAGCUCCUUCUAAGGUAGCAAAACCCCAACUGUGAACAGUUACAGAUUAAGAUUAAGCUGGAAGAAUAAUGACUAAAUGACCAGCUCUGGCAUUUCCCACGGAUUCCCUCUGCGAGGUUCCUCGGUGAUCAGAGAUGAGGCUUUAUCACCUGGACGACCUGCUGAGUGUUUGCAGCAACGUUAACCAUGUAGCUGGGACAUCACACAGGCCUCAUAAAGCUGCGACGCUCUAAUCCUGGAGAAGAGCUGCUUGUUCCAAAUGCAGCAAACAUGUCAUAAAGUUUAAGACACUGAAGUGACUCCUUUCUAAAACUUGCAAGUGAUUUACGAGCAAAACCAGCAGAUGGUAAACUGGAGGUGGCUGGCUUGGGAAGCAUUUGGACAGAGGCAGAAAGGAUUGUCAGGCUCUUAUAAAUGUCUUUUUACUGAAAACACAUUUGUAUGUUUAAGUAGGACAUACAGGCAGUCUUUGUUUAACGCUCUUAAAUACAACAAAGCCACCAGGAAAGCAUGAACUUUAGGCAGAUUUCAGGAGUUUAGGCUCUUUGAGUGUCAUUUUACUGCAUUAAAAUGGUUAAGUUUAGGGUAAAGGUCAAGGGGAUGGGGUUGUUUUACAUUUCUUUGUUGGUUUAUUAACUCAGUCUAUUAAGUUCACUGUAAAUCAUUAUAAGUUCAUCCAGCUUAGUCCCCCUGCUGCCUUAAAAAUGAGAGUUAUCUGCACAUUGACUGAUUAAUUAUUAACAGUGCAAUUAUAUUAACUGAACUUGAGAAAACACAUGAAAUAGACAGACCUAAGACACUAAACAUGAAUCAGCAAGUCACACACAGUGGUUACAGAUAGACUUGCUUUCCUUUGACAUUUUCUAAGCCUAAAGAGUUUCUUUUUCAUCGAACAUUAAAACUUACAUCCUCAAUUGUUCAAACUCUUUUUGACCAGAGUCAGUACAAAGACAGUCAGUGACGCUGCUUCCAGUUAAACGGUGAUGUCUAUGGAUAUAACUUUGCAAUGCUUGGAACUGUUUUGAUUAAAGAAACAGCCAUAACGUAAUCUAAUGUG